rnacentral:rRNA from 1 species
UACAGAGGUCUCGAGCGUUAGGCGGAAUCACUGGGCUUAAAGCGUGUGUAGGCGGAUCGGUAAGUACCUUGUGAAAUCCCACAGCUUAACUGUGGAACUGCUUGGUAUACUGCCAGUCUUGAGCCACUUAGGGGCUACCGGAACAAAUGGUGGAGCGGUGAAAUGCGUAGAUAUCAUUUGGAACGCCAAUGGUGAAGGCAGGUAGCUGGGAGUGUGCUGACGCUGAGACACGAAAGCGAGGGGAGCAAACGGG